GAGUACGUGAAACCGUUUAGGGGUAAACCUGAGAAACCCGAAAGGUCGAAGGGAGAAAUUCAUUCGCGUUUCGCCGUCGGCGUGAAACGGUCGCGCGACGGAAGACGCCCUCGGGUGUUUUCCGCGCCUUUCGUUUCGUCGAUCCGAUGGCGAACGCGUGCACUUUUCUCCUGGUAGGACGUCGCGAUCCGUUGGGUGUCGGUCUACGGCUCGCGGUGGAGUCCGAACGUACGGCUUGCCGUCUCACGUUCGAACCCGCGUGUCCCGGCUGACUCGCUCGACGGUAUACGAAAGGUUUAAGGCCGCUCUCGGAGCGUUCGACUCAUUGCAAGCACGUCGGAUGAUUGUCGGCGAUCGGACCUAGUGCCGAUUCUGACCUCCGGCGACUGUUGGCCGUGAAGUUCUCGGACAGACCUUAAGACCGAUCUGCGACGCUAUAGCUUUGGGUACUUUCAGGACCCGUCUUGAAACACGGACCAAGGAGUCUAGCAUGUGCGCGAGUCAUUGGGAAUCACUAAACCUAAAGGCGCAAUGAAAGUAAAAGUCCGCCUUGCGCGGACUUAGGGAAGACGGGCGGUUUACCCUUAAAAGUAGCCGCUCUGCACUCCCGGGGCGUCUCAUUCUCAUCGCGAGAAGAGGCGCACCAAGAGCGUACACGCUGGGACCCGAAAGAUGGUGAACUAUGCCUGGUCAGGACGAAGUCAGGGGAAACCCUGAUGGAGGUCCGUAGCGAUUCUGACGUGCAAAUCGAUCGUCGGAACUGGGUAUAGGGGCGAAAGACUAAUCGAACCAUCUAGUA
rnacentral:rRNA from 1 species